UACGUAGGUGGCAAGCGUUGUCCGGAAUUAUUGGGCGUAAAGCGCGCGCAGGCGGUCCUUUAAGUCUGAUGUGAAAUCACGUGGCUCAACCACGUGCGGUCAUUGGAAACUGGAGGACUUGAGUGCAGAAGAGGAAAGUGGAAUUCCAAGUGUAGCGGUGAAAUGCGUAGAGAUUUGGAGGAACACCAGUGGCGAAGGCGACUUUCUGGUCUGUAACUGACGCUGAGGCGCGAAAGCGUGGGGAGGCAAACAGGAUUAGAUA
rnacentral:rRNA from 1 species